ensembl:snRNA U6 U6 spliceosomal RNA
GUACUGGCUUUGGCAGCACAUAUACUAAAAUUGCAAGGAUACAAAGAACACUAGCCUGACCCUGUGCAAGGACAACAUGCAAAUUUGUUAAGAGUUACCUUUUUUU